rnacentral:lncRNA from 1 species
GCAGCAUUCAUCAAUGGAAGGAAAAGCCUUACCACACACUCAGGGAUCUGAGGCAGCUAAGGAAGUCUGACUGCUCUCAUUGCCCUUCAGCUGUGGCUCACAGUGCCUGAGCUGGUUUCAGGUGGGGAAGCCCCACACAACUACCCUGGUUUGGUUUAGAGAAGCAUAUGUAUGAUGAUUUCCAAAAUCACCAGAGCUCUGGAAAGAGCCUUUCCUUUUAAAAUUGCUUCUUGAGAGCUAUCAAGGACUUCCCAACUUUAAAGUCACAUUUGGGGCAAAACAGAAUUACCAAGUACCAGAAAAAGGAAACUCACAAAGCAGGAGCCCAGAGCUGCCAGAUGAGCAGAACAAGACCAGGUUGGGGUCCUGGAGCAUGUCUUUCCUCGAUGCCCACUGUUCACCCAGCAGCUCUCAGCACCUUCCUGGUUUGUAUAUAUGCAUCCUUGUGUAUCCCUGCAAAAGUCUCCUUCUUUCCAACACCUCUGAGACCUGGCUUUCUGCCUGCCUCUCCCAUUCACACUGCAGCUGGCCCCAGUACCACACACCUGUCUGCAACUUCAUUAGAUGUGACCUAUAAAAAGUGGGGAGGAAACACUCAGUCCUCUUCCCCAGGUCUGCACCCAGCUCAAGUGAUAACUACCACAUAUGUGAAAACUAGGAGCCCUCCCCUCCCAUAUGUGCAGCCUCUCAAGUGAUGUGUUCCUGCUGUCAGUGCCGAGAGGACAUCAAACUUUCUAAUAGCAAAACCCCAGGCAUGUCUGAGCCCCACAAGCCCUACUGAAUUUCCAGCCACCUGAGCGGAUGUUCAGCUGCUGUAGGAGCCACUGCUUAGAGAGCCCAUUGCAGCUGAAUGAUGUUUCCCUUUUUCCCAACACUUUUGUGGCUGCUCAGUAAUGAUCAUCAUGGGUCAUUGUUUAUUAUCCCAGCUUCACAGUAAUGUUGUUCUUCGCAGCCCCCUACAUGACUGUUUU